rnacentral:rRNA from 1 species
CAAAAACAUGUCUUUUUGUAUUAAAUUUAAAGUCUAACCUGCCCAUUGAAUAAUUUUUAACGGCUGCGGUAUUUUGACCGUACAAAGGUAGCAUAAUCAUUAGUUUUUUAAUUGGAAACUUGUAUGAAUGGUUAAACGAGAUACUGUCUGUUUCAUAAAAAUUUAUAGAAAUUAAUUUUUUAGUAAAAAAGCUAAAAUGUUAUUAAAAGACGAGAAGACCCUAUAGAGUUUUAUAUAAAAAUUUUAUGUUUUAUAAAUAAGAAUUUUAGAUUUAUUAUUUUUUAUAUUUUGUUGGGGUGACAAUAAAAUUUAUUAAUCUUUUAUUAAUAUAUUACAAUGAUUUUUGAAUAAUUGAUCCUUUUAUAUUGAUUACAAGAUUAAAUUACCUUAGGGAUAACAGCGUAAUUUUUUUGUAGAGUUCUUAUCAAUAAAAAUUUUUGCGACCUCGAUGUUGGAUUAAGAAUAAUUUUAGGUGUAGAAGCUUAAUAAAUUAGGUCUGUUCGACCUUUAAUUUCUUACGUGAUCUGAGU